UACGUAGGGUGCAGGCGUUAAUCGGAAUUACUGGGCGUAAAGCGUGCGCAGGCGGUUUGCUAAGACAGGUGUGAAAUCCCCGGGCUUAACCUGGGAACUGCGUUUGAAACUGGGAGACUUGAGUGUGGCAGAGGGGGGUGGAAUUCCACGUGUAGCAGUGAAAUGCGUAGAUAUGUGGAGGAACACCGAUGGCGAAGGCAGCCCCCUGGGUUAACACUGACGCUCAUGCACGAAAGCGUGGGGAGCAAACAGG
rnacentral:rRNA from 1 species